GCAACAAUGAGGGUGGAUUGUGCAGGGGCAGGUGAAUAGGAGGGUGGUAGUGGAGGUGGUACAAGGGAAGACAUCAUAAGGAACCCAGCUUGCCAGCUGGACAGCAGCAGGUGGAGGCUGUUUCCUCUUCAAAGGAAGCAACACCCAAGACAGCCCAGGGAGCCCCCGAAAUGCACCAGCCUAGACUGUGUCACCACCCCAGUCUGGCACAGAGGGAAGGCACAAAUACGUGACAAAUGGAGGGGCUGCUCUUCCAGCUGACAUCCCUGCAGUUCUUACUCUAAUCUUGGAGUCCUGGCCUGGCACGGUGGCGCACACCUGUAAUCCCAG
rnacentral:lncRNA from 1 species